rnacentral:lncRNA from 1 species
CACAAGAAGCUUGUUGCAGUCACAAGAAAGUCUUGUAAAUGAUGUGCCACCUGGGAUCACAGAAGGGCCUUCUCAGCCAGUUUUGAAGAAGACUGUUUGAUGCUGGGGAAAAAAGCUUAUUGAAUAUCCUGAAAACUGACCCUUUACUUGAAAGUUUGUUACUGAAAGUGAAGUUGCUGGCAUUGAAAAAAUUGUGGAGAAUCCAGUCAGUUGUGUGUGAUGGAAGGAGAGAGGAAGAGAUCUCUGAUACUACCCUUGUUUUCCUUCGGUUCGUCUCUCUUGGAAAGGAAUCCUUGCAGAAAGGCACGACAAAUGGUGUGAGAUCUGGAUUUGUAUUUCUGCUGCAGAAGCCAUGGUUAUGCUGGAGGGAGCUACAGAGGCAUUCCCAGAG